GGAGACAGAUAUUCAAUUAAAAAGCAUGUGCCCAAAAUUAGACACUUGGAUAUGUGGGCCCUGGAGAAGAAAAUGAUUGAAGAGGCAUCACGGAGAAAGUGACAUUUGAGCCUAGCUUUCACAUAAGUGAAUAAGAUUUCUCCAGAUGGAAAGACUAUGUGUGGUGCUGGAGUAUGAGGAGGUGACUUCUAACAUUCUAGGUAGAGGAAAUAACAGCUGCUAAUUUAUUGAGAUUUGUUUUGUGGCCUAUCAUAUGGUCUAUCUUGGAGAAUAUUCUAUGUGCUGAUGAAUAUAAUGUAUAUUCUGUAGUUGUUGGUAGAAUGUUCUGUAAAUAUUUGUUAAGUCAAUUUACUCUAGGUUAUAGUUUAAGUCCAUUGUUUCUUUGUUGACUUUCUGUUUUGAUGACCUGUCCAGUGCUGUCAAUGGAGUAUUGAAGUCCCCCACCAUUAUUGUGUUGCUGUCUAUCUCAUUUCUCAGGUCUAGAAGUAAUUGUUUUAUGAAUUUGGGAGUUCCAGUGUUAGGUGUGUAUAUAUUUAGGAUUGUGAUAUUUUCCUGUUGGACUAGUCCUUUUAUCAUCAUAUAAUGUCUCUCCUUUGUCUUUUUUAACUGCUGUUUCUUUAAAGUUUGUUUUGUCUGAUAUAAAAAUAGCUACUGCUGCUCACUGUUGGUGUCCAUUUGCAUGGGAUAUCUUUUUCCACCCCUUUACCUUAAGUUUAUGUGAGUCCUUAUGUGUCAGGUGAGUCUCUUGAAGACAGCAGAUGCUUGGUUGGUGAAUUCUCAUCCAUUCUACCAUUCUGUAUCUUUUAGGUGGAGCAUUUAGGCCAUUUACAUUCAAUGUUAGUAGUGAGAGGGGAGAUACUAUUCUAUUCAUCAUGCUAUUUGUUGCCUGAAUACAUUGUUUUUCUCACAUUUUUUUCAUUGUGUUAUUGUUAUAUAGGUCCUUUGAGAUUUAUGCUUUAACAUUCUAUUUUUGUGUAUUUCAAAGAUUUGUUUCAAGAUUUAGAGCUCCUUUUAACAGUUCUUGCAGCGCUGGCUUGGUAGUGGCAAAUUGUCCCAGCAUUUGUUUGUCUGAAAAAGACUGUAUCUUUCCUUCAUUUAUGAAGCUUAGUCUUGCUGGCUAAUUUUUUGUAUUUUUAGUAGAGAUGGGGGCUGAUAAUUGUUUUGUUUAAAGAGGCUGAAGAUAGGACCCCAAUCUUUUCUAGCUUGUAGCAUUUCUGCUGAGAAAUCUGCUGUUAAUCUAAUAGGUUUUACUUUAUAGGUUGUCUGAUGCUUUUGCCUCACUGUUCUUAAGAUUCUUUUCUUUGUCUUGACUUUAGAUAACCUAAUGACUAUGUGCCUAGGUGAUGAUUUUUUUUGUGAUGAAUUUCUCAGGUAUUCUUUGAGCUUCUUGUAUUUGAAUGUCUAGAUCUCUAGCAAGGCCAGGGAUAUUUUCCUCAAUUAUUCCCUCAAAUGUUUUCCAAAUGUUUAGAUUUCUCUUUUUCCCUGGGAACAGCAGUUAUUCUUAGGUUUGGUCAUUUAACAUAAUCCCAAACUUUUUGGAGGCUGUGUUUAUUUUAUUUAAAUUCUUUAUUCUUUGUCUUUGUCAAAUUGGGUUAAUUGAAAAGCCUUGUCUUUGAGCUCAGACAUUCUUUCUUCUACGUGUUUGAGUCCAUUGCUGAGACUUUCCAGUGCAUUUUGCAUUUCUCUAAGUGUGUUCCUGAUUUCCAGAAGUUGUUAUUGUUUUUUAUUUAUGCUAUUUCACUGGAUAUUUUUUCAUUCAUAUUCUGUAUCAUUUUUCUUAUUUGUUUAAGUUGGAUUUUACCUUUCUCUGGUGCCUCCUUGAUUGGCUUAAUAAUCAACCUUCUGAAUUCUUUUUGUGGCAAUUCAGAUAUUUUUUUCUUGGUUUGGAUCUAUUGCUGGUGAGCUAGUGUGAUCUCUUGUGGGUGUUAAGGAAUGUUGUUUUGUCACCAGAAUUGUUUUUCUGAUUCCUUCUCAUUUGGGUGGACUAUGUCAGAGGGAUGAUCUGGGACUCAAGGGCUGCUGCUUAGAUUCUUUUGUCCCACGGGGGUGCUCCCCUGAUAUGGUGCUCUCCCUUUUCCCCUAGGGUGGGCCUUCCUGAGAGCCAAACUUCAGUGAUUGUUAUUUCUCUUCUGGAUCUAGCCACCCAGUGGAGGUACCAGGCUCCGGGCCAGUAGUGGGGAGUGUCUGCAAAGAGUCCUGGGAUGUGAUCCAUCUUCAGGUCUCUCAGCCAUGGGUACCAGUACCUACUCUAGUGGAGGUAGCAGGGGACUGAAGUGGACUCUGUGGGGGUCCUUGGUUGUAUUUUUGUUAAAUGCACUCACUUUGUGUUGGUUGGCCUCCAGCCAGGAGGUGGCAAUUUCAAGAGUGCUUUAGCUGUAGUAGUAUAGGGAGGAUCAGGUGGUGGGCAGGGCCAUAGAGCUCCCAAUAGAUUAUGUCGUUUGUCUGCUGUGGGAGAUGGGGAUGUGGUUCCCAGGCCAAUGGAGUUAUGUUCCCAAGGGAUUAUGGCUGUCUCUGCUGCAUCACACAGUUCAUCAGGAAAGUGGGUGAAAGCCAGCAGUCAUAGGCUUCACACAGUUCCCACACCACCUGCAGCCCAAAAGGCUUGUCUCACUCCCACUGUGCCCCCAUAACAGCACUGAGUUUAUGUCCAGGCAGCCGGUGAGCAGGGCUGAGAACUUGCCCCAGGCUACAUGCCUCCCAGCUGAGAAAGCAAGCAGACUGUUCCUUGGCUGUCCCACAAAGACUGCAGUAGCAAUCCACCUCCUUCAAAGGGUCUGUGGAUUAUCUCAGCAUUCGUGGUAUGUUCCUGCAGUAGUUUUUGGAAAAAAAGUUCAUAAUGUGGGUCUCCACACACUGCCCUGUACUUC
rnacentral:lncRNA from 1 species